UGGUCUUGACAUAGAAAGAACUUUCCAGAGAUGGAUUGGUGCCUGCUUGCAGGAGCUUUCAUACAGGUGCUGCACGGCUGUCGUCAGCUCGUGUCGUGAGAUGUUGGGUUAAGUCCCGCAACGAGCGCAACCCUCGUCGUUAGUUGCUAACAGUUCGGCUGAGAACUCUAACGAGACUGCCUACGCAAGUAGGAGGAAGGUGGGGAUGACGUCAAGUCAUCAUGCCCCUUAUGUGCUGGGCUACACACGUGCUACAAUGGUUGGUACAGAGAGCAGCAAUACGGCGACGUGGAGCAAAUCUCAGAAAGCCAAUCUUAGUUCGGAUCGCAGUCUGCAACUCGACUGCGUGAAGUUGGAAUUGCUAGUAAUCGCGAAUCAGCAAUGUCGCGGUGAAUACGUUCUCGGGUCU
rnacentral:rRNA from 1 species